GAUUCAGUAGUGUAGGGGUAUCAUGGGCGCUUGCCAUCAUCACUGACAGCAUCUUGCGCCCGACCCGGGUUCAAAUCCCGGCUGAAUCA